UACGUAGGGUGCGAGCGUUUGUCCGGAAUUACUGGGCGUAAAGAGCUCGUAGGUGGUUUGUCGCGUUGUUCGUGAAAACUCACAGCUUAACUGUGGGCGUGCGGGCGAUACGGGCAGACUGGAGUACUGCAGGGGAGACUGGAAUUCCUGGUGUAGCGGUGGAAUGCGCAGAUAUCAGGAGGAACACCGGUGGCGAAGGCGGGUCUCUGGGCCGAUACUGACGCUGAGGAGCGAAAGCGUGGGGAGCGAACAGG
rnacentral:rRNA from 1 species